rnacentral:rRNA from 1 species
AUUGAACGCUGGCGGCACGCUUAACACAUGCAAGUCGAGCGGUAACAUGGUCUGUAGCAAUACAGACUGAUGACGAGCGGCGGACGGGUGAGUAAGACGUAGGAACCUGCCCAAAAGAGGGGGACAACCAAGGGAAACUUUGGCUAAUACCGCGUAAUCUCGAACGAGGAAAGUUGCCCGCAAGGGUAAUACUUGUGGAGGGGCCUGCGUCCGAUUAGCUAGUUGGUGGGGUAAUGGCUCACCAAGGCAUUGAUCGGUAACUGGUCUGAGAGGACGACCAGUCACACUGGGACUGAGACACGGCCCAGACUCCUACGGGAGGCAGCAGUGGGGAAUCUUGGACAAUGGGGGCAACCCUGAUCCAGCGAUGCCGCGUGGGUGAAGAAGGCCUUCGGGUUGUAAAGCCCUUCAGGUUGGGACGAAGUGUGCGGGGUUAAUACCUCCGCGCAUUGACGGUACCGACAGAAUAAGCACCGGCAAACUCUGUGCCAGCCGCCGCGGUAA